UACGUAGGGACCAAGCGUUGUCCGGAAUCAUUGGGCGUAAAGCGCGCGUAGGUGGCUUCGUAAGUCCGUUGUGAAAGUCAAAGGCUCAACCUUUGAAAGCCGAUGGAUACUGCGGAGCUAGAGUACGGAAGAGGCGAGUGGAAUUCCUGGUGUAGCGGUGGAAUGCGCAGAUAUCAGGAGGAACACCAAUAGCGAAGGCAGCUCGCUGGGACGGUACUGACGCUGAGACGCGAAAGCGUGGGGAGCGAACAGG
rnacentral:rRNA from 1 species